rnacentral:lncRNA from 1 species
CACCCUUUAAUCCGUGAUUAAUGCGGAUGUCAUUAUGUGCCUGUUCAGUAUAGCCGUCGUGAAUGUACAUGGGGCAAUAGGCUAGAACAGGACAAAAAGCAUAGGAGACGCCAGGAUACUAUAGUCAUAAGCAAACGCGAGUGUAUUUGACAGCUGGACCACAAUAAGCGGCUGGAAGUGAAAGUAUAUCCAGUCAGCAAGCUUCGCGGUACAAACUAAAUGUAUCGCUAAUAAAACGUCGUCUGGUUGCCUCUGAGUAACUAAUUUGCCAUCUUCUCCAAAGUUUGAGCUGCGUAUAGCCCGUGGCGUAUUGAUUGGAACCGAUGGGGCGCCGAGAACUCUCAAGAACCUUCCCCCGCGGACAUCACCUCAAGAUCCUGACGCGCUUUAGCAUUUGGACCCCAUGCACCGCUACUGAGUCAGACACCGUUCGAUAACACGUUGUUGAUCGACGUCAGUCAGCCCUAGUGGGCUAAGUGGUUCUGAUACAUUUCUGUCAGUGGCGUCAAACAAAAGGGAGAUCAAAGGGCUUUAAAAAAAAGUGUCCACAAUAGGUCGGUUGGCCUCGUUAUGA